rnacentral:rRNA from 1 species
AGUAACACGUGGGUAACCUGCCCAUCAGAGGGGGAUAACAUUCGGAAACGGAUGCUAAAACCGCAUAGGUCCUUUAACCGCAUGGUUGAAGGAGGAAAAGAGGCGUAAGCUUCUGCUGAUGGAUGGACCCGCGGUGCAUUAGCUAGUUGGUGAGGUAACGGCUCACCAAGGCCGUGAUGCAUAGCCGACCUGAGAGGGUGAUCGGCCACAUUGGGACUGAGACACGGCCCAA